AUUGAACGCUGGCGGCAGGCUUAACACAUGCAAGUCGAACGAGUGGCGGACGGGUGAGUAAUGUCUGGGAAUCUGACUUAUGGAGGGGGAUAACUACGGGAAACGGUAGCUAAUACCGCGUACCAUAAGAUGUGCCAAAAUGGGAUUAGCUUGUUGGUGGGGUAAAGGCUCACCAAGCCGACGAUCCCUAGCUGGUCUGAGAGGAUGACCCGCCACACUGGAACGGAGACACGGCCCAGACUCCUACGUGAGGCAGCAGUGGGGAAUAUUGCGCAAUGGGCGCAAGCCUGACGCAGCCAUGCCGCGUGUAUGAAGAAGGCCUUCGGGUUGUAAAGUACUUUCAGUGGGGAGGCGUUACCCACAGAAGAAGCACCGGCUAACUCCGUGCCAGCAGCCGCGGUAAUAC
rnacentral:rRNA from 1 species